UCUACAGACUACUCAAGGUUCAAGGAUUGUAUCUGGAGAAGAAUCUUCUCUACAGAGUACUCAAGGUUCAAGGAUUGUAUCUGGAGAAGAACCUUCUCUACAGAGUACUCAAGCUUCAAGGAUUGUAUCUGGAGAAGGACCUGCUGCACAGAGUGCUGAAGGUUCAAGGAUUGUAUCUGGAGAAGAAUCUUCUCUACAGAGUACUCUAGGUUGUAGGAUUGCUGCACAGACUCAAGAAACAACUAUGGGCGAGAAAUCAGAUGUAAUCUACAAGGAUUUUUCACUGCUUCUGAACACCAGGAAAAUUGUGGAUAUUAAAACUUUAACUUCAAUUGACAAGUUCCAUCUUCUAAUCAAGAACACACUUCCAGAGCAUGGUAAAUACACACAAAAACGUCGUUUCAACAGUUCUUCAGUCAAGUCAUAUGGAGAAAAGUCUAAAUACAUCCACUACAGUGAAACAACUGACAAGAUUUUCUGCUUACCUUGUGGAAUGUUUGCCUCAAAUAAAAAGCAACUGUUGCCAUCUAGAUGGAUCAAUGGUUAUUCUGAUUGGAAGAACAUUUCAGUGAAGGACAAAAAGGGUCUUUCCUAUCAUUUAAAUUCAGAGUGCCAUUUAUCUUGUCACAUGCAGGCAGAAAAGUUUCUUGAAAGCAUGUCAAGUAAACAGAAUGAGAUUGCUAGAAUGGUUGACUCUGCAAAAAUGAAAAGAAUAUCUGAAAAUAAUGACCUUCUGGAUGCUGUAAUUAAAAAUGUCAGAUUCUGCGGAGUUCAAGGUAUAGGAUUAAGAGGCCACAUUGAAAAGUUUGAUACUAAAAACCCACACAAAAACCGAGGAAACUUCCUUGCUUUGAUGGAUCUCACUGGAUCCUACAGUGAUAAUUUAGAAAAAAUGCUACUAUUUGUAAAGAAACAAACUCAGGACGGAACAAGACCACAAGCAUGAUGUCUUCACAUAUCCAGAACGAAAUAAUUGAUAUCUUUGGGAAUCAAGUUCUAAAAUCAAUCCUGGAUGAUGUGAAAAAAGCAGGCCUGUAUGUGCUCAUUGCAGAUGAAGUCACAAUGUUUAACAAACAAUUUCUGUCACUAUGCAUUAGAUUUCUGUGGAUUCUGGAGAAAUUAGAGAAGAAUAUCUCAGCUUCAUCGAAAUUGCUGAUGGAACUGCUGAGUCAAUCUUUCAGUACAUGUUGGAUGAGCUUGAGACAAGUGGACUAUCUAUAGAAAACUGUCUUGGUGCUUCUUUUGAUGGGGCAGCUGUCAUGUCCGGACAUUUGAAUGGAGUUCAGGCUAAACUUAAGAAGAGAGUGAAUCAUGCAGUAUUUACACACUGCAAAAGUCACAACUUGUCCUUAUCCAUAAUGGAUACCAUCAAGCUUACUAGUCUACAGCUGGUAGUGACUAUUAUUGCUGACAUUUCUAUUUUUUUUCUGGAUAAUAGUCCCAAGAGAGAGGCUUUUCUCAACGCAAUAUUCAAGUUCUACUUCCCUGACUCCAAAUGAAAACAUUGUUUGCUCAAGCUCUGUAUGACAAGAUGGACACAAAGAAUCGUUGCCUGGUCACAGUUUUAUGAAGUAUUGAGUGUGAUCCUGAUAGCAUUAUAGAGGUUAUUGUUGGAACCCGGCAGUUGGGCGAUAUUCCAGCACCAAUAAUAAGUUUUGAUGCAUCAACUAAGGCAAGAGCAUCCUGCCUUAUCAAAUCUUUCUCUGAUCCUGGGUUUUUGGUAGGUGUUGCAUGUAUGGACUGUUUCCUAACCCCUACUUUGCUUCCAACCAAACAACUGCAAGGCUCAAAUUUGGAAAUAUUGAAAGCAUAUCAAAUAAUUGAAGAUGUCAUUCAGGAAAAAGUUUACAAUAUAAAAAAUUAUACUUAUAGAUU